rnacentral:tRNA from 1 species
GCCUCUAUAGCUCAGUUGGUAGAGCAACUGAUUUGUAAUCAGUAGGUCCGCAGUUCGAGUCCGCGUGGAGGCACCA